UUUCCCCCCGCGCCGGCGGGGAGAGCCGCCAUCAUCGGCCUCGGCUGCCGCGGGGCGGGCAAGGGGCCUUGCCCGGCGCUGGUUUCCCCUCACGGCACCGUCGUUAUUCCUGCCCCGGGGGAAAGGCAGAGGAUUGCAAUAAAUACAGCACAUGGCACAGCCAACCAGAAGGGGUACUGUUGGGUAUACUGAAGAACACUGCAGAGAUCCAGGUCUUAGGAGCAGGGGAGGUAACUCCAGAGACUCCAGGCUGAGGUUGCCUCUAACACAGCAUCCAUCAGACUGCUCAGCUUCUACCAAAGGAAGAAGUCUCUGCAUCCCACCUGUGGUUCAAGCUUCCCGUGUUGGUAAAUGACCAAGCAUUCCACCCAAAGUCAUCUGACAAGGUUUAACCCUACACAUUAUUUCAUGCACAGAAGUGGGUUACAAAUUAACAGUAAUUUGGGGAGCACAAGACUAACAGGAUGAAUCUAUAAAAACAUUAACAGUGACAGAUUUUUAUCCCUUUUGAUCAGCUUCCUGUAAAAUUUAUCAGAGAAACAUAAAGAGUAGUUUCAAAAACAUUCAUGGUCUUGUUUUCCUGGCUUCUGUUUGUUUUCUGACCAGAAGAACGUUGCUUGCUGGUAAGCAGUGAAGGAAACGCUGCUUUGAUGCUGCUCUGCCCAAUGCACUUGUUGCCUUAGCCCAGACAACUACUAAAACAGGACUAAUAAAACAGAAAAGCUUUUAGAUUCAGAAAACCUUCUUCAAAGGUAUUUGCAAAAGUACAAAGUAAAAGCAUUCUAUGUUUUUAUGGCUAGCGGCUUGCAGCAAAAGCCUGGAAUAUUGUGUUAAAGAGCAUUAAAUUUGAUGAUGCUGGCAGAGGAUCAACAUUCCAAUAGCAAAAGCUGAUAAAGUCUGGUGGGUCUGUCGAAGCUGGUACCAAAGAUCCAGGCAGACCCGGGCUGGUAUCCAAGUACUGAGUCGUAAGUCCGAAUAAACUCUGUUAUGAAAGGAACUUCAUUGUUAAAGAAUUUUCAACUCUUACCUGGGAACAUGAGGGAGAGGUCUGGUUCACUUCAACUAACUUCAGCUGUCUAAAAGUUAAGCAUCUAGUUUAAGGCCUCCAACUAUGAAGAGAGAGGGAAAGAGGGGGCACCUC